AUAUAUAUAUAUAUAUAUAUAUAUACACCCAUGUACAGAUUAAUUGAAAUUAAAGAGAAUCAUCUCUUUCUAAAUUUAUGAACUGUUUCAACUUUUCCUACCAUUUGGGUAAUGGAAAUAUUUCAGUUGUCAGUCUCCCUUAGUUUCAUUGGCUGCCAAAUUUUUUUACUUUCAUUUACUUUCAUUUCUCUGGUUGCAGAGGAGCUAGCCAAAUAUUGUGCCUCAUUUUUGUUGAUAGAAUUUUUAAAGAUGCAGUGACACCUAAAACACAGAAGGAAACACUGGAAUCAUUUCGAUCUGGAAAGGUAUACUGUCUUGUAUAUGAUGAAUUAUUUCAUAAGCUAUUGCAUUUGAAUACCUAAUAACCAAUGAAUAUACCCAUAUGUUCGGGUCAACCUAUUUUUUUGCCAAUGAUGCGUGAGGGAGGGAAUUCAUAUGCCAAACUGCUCAUGUAAUAUGCUUUGACUUGCCCAAGGUAGUCUGCUGUUAUUUCCAAUCUCAAGGACGCGCUAGACAAAAUGGUUCCCAAUAUAUCAUUAUGCUUGAGAGGGGACACGUGAACAAGGGGAUCAACUAUUUGAUUUCAUCAUUAGUGAAUGGCUAGUGAGUAGUGACAAAUACAACUAUAUUGAGAUCCUGAUGUAUAGGCUUUGCAAACAUGUACUCCUGAGGGAACCAAGGCAUAAAUUGUGAAUGCCACCGGAACAUCAGUUACUGCAGACGCUAGUGUUCGGCCUGAGAUUGAGAAUUAUGCUUAUCUUGUUGAUGCCCUUUGUGGUGCAGGGCAUGCGCAAGAGGCAGAGAAAGUGAUCUCAUCAAUGCCCUUUGAAGCUUCUGCUUCAAUGUAUCAGCCUUGGUACUUGGUAGGUGUUUGUUGUGUUCUUGGGGAUAUGGAUACUGGAAAAUGAUUGUCAACCCAACUAAUGGCCUUGGCGCCAUCUGACUCAAAUAUCUAUGCUGUAGCCAUCCAAUGGGACGUUAUAACUAAUGCUAGAAGAACAAUGCAGAGGAAGAAUGUAAAGAAGGAUCCAGACUUUAGUUGGAUGGACGUGAAGAAUAGAGUGCGUUUGUUUGCGGUGGAAGAUAGAUUCCAUUCUGAAGCUGAUUCAACAUAUGAUAAGGUGGUGGACAUGAUGGAAAGGAUCAAAGGUAAAAGAUAUGUUACAGACUUUGUGCUGCUCUAUCAAAGAGAAAUUGUGUUGAGAUAAGCAAAUGGCUUCCAUCGUUUCAAAGGGGGAAGUUGCUCCUGUGGUGAUUAUUGUUAAUAGUAAAAUUCACAUCUUAAUAAUUCUUUUAAAAUAAAUUUCCCCUUUAAUCUCACAA